GCUUUACAGAAAUAUGGAAUCAAGAAAUAAAUGUUCAGAUCACUGCAAGCUCAAGCAGGAUAAUUCGAUCAGCAGUAGACUGUACUGACUUCUUCAUGCACAAGAUCACUGAAGACAAAGUCCUCUCUGAAUCUCUAUCUUGGAAUCGAGAUCUUUGAGGUUGUGAAAUUGCCAAGACUUCAGUAUGAAAAAUAACRAAGCACAGCAUGGGAAAGUAAAAUUAUUUGGUCCAUCCUUCUUGGGAAGCUGGAAAUGUGGAGUUCCAUCUCCCCUAGUCUCUAGCUUUGUUAAAGGAGAUGUGUACAGUCAAUACUCAGGAUGGACCUGGGAGCAGUGAAUCCAGUUCCUGGAAAACCC